CUAGUGACUAGAAAUAAUACUGUUACUGGUUAUUUACUAAAUUUGAAGUGAAUGUAAGUUCAAAAUAUCUAAACUGGAAACAUUCUCUGAGACAGCUAUGCUUUCACUUCGACUACCUUGGCCUUAAAUUUGAAAAAUCACUUUGGUAAUUUCCAAGUAUAAGAUCUGAAGUGCAGGCAAAACUGUAGCCUGCAGAUGGCGCUCAGGCAGCACGUACAAGAAUCAAAUUAAUGACUGCUUAGUAUUAUUAGAAAACCUUAAACUAACCUUUUAUGAUCACUUUGGUAAGAGUUCUAACAAAAGUGGAUUUUUUCUAUACAUUGUGAUUACAAAACGGCUAGAAAUUAUAUAGAUUAAAAAAAAAGUAUUUCUUAUCUCUUCAGGUCCUCCGUUAAACUGACAAAAUAGAAAAACUGUAAAACUGUUCAACACAAGAGAAUGUAUUUUUAUUAUUUUAUUAUUUACAUAGCGCCAUCAGAUGCCGUAGCGCUGUACAAUGUAUGCUCUUUUUCCAGCCCAUGCUGAUUAUGGUAUCACACAAUGCAUAUUUAGUUACAUAUGACAAAUGCAGCAUUUGUGACACGCCAAUGCAUUGCAAUGGUCAUCACGACACAAGUAAAUCUUUUUAUCUGUACAUUUGCUGAAAAUUUUACUUGGAAAGAGUUAAGUACAGGCUGAUGUAAUGAUACUUACCUAGGGGACAUGUCUCGAGUCCCCAUAAGUAAUCCGAAAGCCAAAUGAAGAACGUCUCCAUCUGGCAGUUGGGAAAGGAUGCAUAAAUAUCCAAAUAGAAAGGUGAAAUCAUCUAACUGCACAUAACUUAUUAAUGGCCAUUGAAGGGACUAUCAGGUCCCGAACACCCUAGCGACGCCUAAGGAGACCCCCUGUCUUGGGCAGCAGAUACAGGUGGACACACCUGGAAGAUCGUAUUGGGAAAUAUCAUGAUCCUGUAGAAGCACACAGAGGAGUCUUUUUUACUCAUGCAGACCUGGAUAAGCCACAGCUUCUGAUUACUUCAUCCUCUACAGGACAGAUAUCAGCCAGAAUAUUGGUGAGAUCUAUCCAAACAUUAUUUUGAUGGGAGAUACAUAACUGCCAAUUGGUGGGACUGUAAAUAUUAAUAUUUUUUCUAAUUUUUUUCACUUUUUCUUUUUGUUUUUGUUUUUUACAUAUUGUGUAUUUUUAAAUUUUUCUCUUUUGCAUUUUUUCACGGAUGGAUAUAUAUUUGGUCUCCCUGCCAGAAAGAAUAUCUGAUCCUGAUUGUAUAGAGGGUUCUCAACUAAACAGUGCAAACAGGCACUAGUACUACUGACAUUGUCGGACUUUAUUGGGCUAUAUUUAUUUUGUGCUAGGUGUAUCAAAGAUAACCACAAUGGUUAUGGUAGAAUGAGGUGUAUAUAACCUGUUGUAGAAAUUACAUUGUUUUAAGUGAUUUAUCUCACUUUAUGAUAAUAGUGCACUGUAUAGUAUUGUUAUUCUCUACGUGACAUUUUGCUAAUACAUGCACUUUAAAAGUUUUUUUAAGCACUUUAUGAUUACAGUGCACUUUACAGUAUUAUAAUUUUUUUUGUUAUAUAUAUCUAAAUAUAUACUACUGGAUGUUUCUAGGUCCCAAUGUUUAUAUUUUGUAGUGGACUAUUUAAGAUCCGGACGUUCUCCAAGUUCCAGAUCAUGGGACUGAAGAGGAAUAACUCAUUGACAUCACUAGAACGCAUGUGUGAAAUCGGGUGGAAUGCAAAAGGAUAUGAUGUUCCUGAAACGCAUUGAAGUGUGUCUUGCAACGCUUACACGAAUGGACACAGCAUUAGGACAUUGACGCUAACCACUUGUAGGUGGAGGCGAAGGAGGAAACCGAUUGGGACAGUGCAAUUGGUUAAUGAAGGAAUAAAUCCCCGGAGAGUAGACGCGACGCCCAUUUAACCACCAAUGGCCUUAUGGGAUGGUCUUAUAUAAUGGGAACGUUUGCGGGGGAGGAAAUCAGGCUGCAUUUGAUUGUGUUUUAUUAAGAAAUGUCCCUGAAAAAGUUCUUGAAUAAGAAAAUGCUUAGGACUGGG
rnacentral:lncRNA from 1 species